UGGGGAAUAUUGGGCAAUGGGCGAAAGCCUGACCCAGCAACGCCGUGUGAAGGAAGAAGGUCUUCGGAUUGUAAACUUUUGUCUUAUGGGACGAUAAUGACGGUACCAUAGGAGGAAGUCACGACUAACUACGUGCCAGCAGUCGCGGUAAUACGUAGGUGACGAGCGUUAUCCGGAAUUAUUGGGUGUAAAGGGUGCGUAGGCGGGCUGUAAAGUCAGAUGUGAAAUACCGGGGCUUAACUCCGGGGCUGCAUUUGAAACUUAUGGUCUUGAGUGGAGUAGAGGUAAGCGGAAUUCCCAGUGUAGCGGUGAAAUGCGUAGAUAUUGGGAGGAACACCAGUGGCGAAGGCGGCUUACUGGGCUUUUACUGACGCUGAGGCACGAAAGUGUGGGGAGCAAACAGG
rnacentral:rRNA from 1 species